rnacentral:rRNA from 1 species
UACGAGAGGGUGCGAGCGUUAAUCGGAAUUACUGGGCGUAAAGCGUGCGUAGACGGUUAUUUAAGUCGGGUGUGAAAGCCCCGGGCUCAACCUGGGAAUUGCAUUCGAGACUGAAUAGCUAGGGUACGGUAGAGGGAAGUGGAAUUUCCGGUGUAGCGGUGAAAUGCGUAGAUAUCGGAAGGAACAUCAGUGGCGAAAGCGACUUCCUGGACCAGUACCGACGUUCAGGCACGAAAGCGUGGGGAGCGAACA